rnacentral:lncRNA from 1 species
GGCAACUCGCUGGGGUCCCCUUCCACCCUUUGAAAACUUUGUUCUUUGGUUCUUUGCAAUAAAUGUUGCUGCUGCUCACUCUUCGGGUCUGCACUGGCUUUAUGAGCUGUAACACUCACUGCGAAGGUCUGCAGCUUCACUCCUGGAGCCAGUGAGACCCCGAGCCCACCGGGAGGACCGAAGAACUUCAGAUGCGCCGCGUUAAGAGCUGUAACACUCACCGCGAAGGUCUGCAGCUUCACUCCUGAGCCAGCGAGACCACGAACCCACCAGAAGGAAGAAACUCGGAACACAUCCGAAUAUCAGUAGGAACAAACUCCGGACACGCCGCUUUUAAGAACUGUAACACUCACCUCGAGGGUCCGCGGCUUCAUUCUUGAAGUCAGGGAGACCAAGAACCCCCCAAUUCCGGACACAGGGGGACUUGGCUGCUUCCUGUUUCUAUCAUAGACGCAGCUGGCCUCAGAAUAUUCCACUUAUGGAUGAAAGAAUGAUAGUGUUAUUUUAUGGAAGAAUUUAAGAAGAUGUUGCGGUAUCAUCGACUUUUAACAUCUGGUGAUCUCCAAAUCAAGAGAUAAGAGAAACCAAGCAUGCCUGGAAGAGACGUUUCUUAAAGGUCACCUACAGAUCAAUACCCACAAAAAGCAAACCACAAAUUAAUGGAAAGGCAUGACAGAAAUCAUUGCCUUUCUCAUUAGGCCCUCUGCCAACUGCCUGUUACGUAUUAGAUCCACCCUGAUUUAUUCUAAGCCCUAGACUGCAUAGGCUGGUGCUUAUUGUCAUGGUCAUUAUAAGCCAUUAUUAUUCAUUCCUAGAGUGCAAAUGAGCUUCUUAUCCUUUAAUUCUUCCCUAGGAAAGCACCCCAAGG